ensembl:lncRNA
CCCUUUUCUGGUAACUGACUUUGGUUUUAUGACUAAACAUAUAGGUAGACACUGCAGCUAUUUUAUUUCCUUGACACUGACUUCAAAAGUAGGAGAAGCAAGUGCUUUCACUCUGGACUGGACUUGGAUAAAUUCUUUCCAAAUUCUUGCAUAUGUGGCCUAGGAAGCUUGCUGGACCCAAUGAAGACCUGAUUGUUGCCUGAAACUCCACUUCCUGAGAGAAUUUAUCUUGAGGAGCAGGCCAAAGUCGGCACCAUUGAAAGCAGCCAAAACUCCAAUAGAAAACUCAGAGUCUUCCUGCCUGAAGAGCCACAGGAUCAAGUUAGGGGCAACCACAGUUGCUGGGAUGUGAGAGGGAAAUCCUGGAAAGGAGAAAUCAGAGAGGAGGAGCCCUAAUUUUGUAUGAAACAGUAUACUGCUUCAACAGAAAUGAGAGAGGCUUCCUGUAUCAAUGGGAAUCCGAUUCUGCACUCUCAGCUACAAUGUACGGGCAGUUUGGCUUGGAUAUUCAUGUGAUGUCUACUCAUAUUCUUUUGUAUUCCUGCCCAAACCAUUUAGAGAUAAUAAAUCAGAGCUGAAUAGCAGCUUCCUGUGUAUAAUUAGAUGGCAAAUUAUUACUAAUUAAGCUACAUAUAGUUAUGGUUCAAAUUAAAAUAGUUUAUUGUUAAAGCUAAGAUUUUUGUGAAUAUGAAUAUCCAGCAUUUCCUUAUAGUAAAAUGAACUAUGCAUAUGCUCACAGUGUUGACCUUAUGAAUAUUUGUCUUUUUUGGUCGUUGUUUUUAAAGAUUCCUAUCCGCAUAAACAUAAAGCAGAAUCAAAUGGUCAUAUUAAGUAUAUAGGGAGAAGAAAAUUGAAUAAAUUGAGGAAUCAAGAUUUUUUUUUCACAUCCAGUAAUCCAGGAUGAAAAUCAACUCCAACUAAUUUGGACUGUCUUUCAAUUGUAUUGAUUCUGCUAUGAGGAG